GGGGCAGAGGCUAGAGAAAGAGAAGAGUCAAUGAGGACACUCAGGUGUUUGGCCUGAGCCCCUGGAAGGAGAGAGGUGCCACUUUCAGAGGCAAAGACGAUGCAGGAGAGGUGAGAAAAACCAAGGCUCAGAGAGAAGGACUUGCCUAAAGUCACACAGCUAUGAAAUGUCCGAACUGGGAUUCAAACCCACACCUGUCAGACUCCAGAGCCUGUGCUCCUUCUCUCCCCGGCAGCCUGUCUACUAAGAUGUUGGCCCAGCUCCACAUACAGUCAUCUGCCUCGCCAGCAGCACAUUUCAGAA
rnacentral:lncRNA from 1 species